AGAUUUUUUCCCCACUGAAAAACGGAGGUGUCACCGGCGGCGGCGGCGUCUCGUAUCAUAUUUUAAAUUGUGCACAUAAACGAGAGUUUUAUCACGCGAGUUGCUGUAGAAGCGGAUGGCAACACAAUAGGAGGGAUGCAGAACAUGGAGGGAUGUCAAGAAGAACAGGUGGCAGGGAUGACAGAAUGCAGGAAAUGAGGAAAAAAACCCCAGCAACGAGGGGCUGAAGCUUUUCCAGAAGAACGGCAAAAAAAUAUAAGCUGUCGAUUGGAGAGAGGAUUAAACAAGGAGAGAGAGAAGAGGAUGGGAGGCCGAUCGAAGGACAGAGCGGAGGCAGAUGGGAUUGUUCUGCUCCGCUACUAAUGUUCCUCGGAAGAAUUAAAGUCCAGGAAGAAGUCGGCGCGUGCGCGCGCGCGCACGCCCGCUGCCCCGGCGCUCGCCUCCAGUCCCUCCCGGCUUCGCUGGCGGUAGUUAGUGACUUAGUGACCCGUGCGACUCCUCGCACCGGCAUCGGUCCCUGUAGUAGCGCGUGGUCGAUGCAAAGUGUCGCCUCGCUAAAUGCGGACGCACACGCGCACGCGCGCACACACAUUUCACACGCCGCCCGCUGUAAGUGUUAAGUACAUUCUUCCGACGCCUCUCUCGAUAACAGAAUGAAUGCGGGGUGCGAUGCGGAGUCGAGGGAUGAGCGACGGAGUGAGAGCGAGGAGGAAGCUGAUGGCGUCUGUGUCCUACUGUCACAAUUAGUGUAAUGCGGCGUCAAAACGAGGCCCCAGUCGAGUCGAGCACGGAGGACCUCGGCUUCAUUCUCCGUCAGUGCAAAGGAAGGGGAGGAAAGAGUGGUUUGUUAGAAUGAGUGCCUCCGGAUGAAUCACCUGCUUUUGAAGGGAGUCCAAAGAGCAGCAGAGAGACCAAUUAAGUACAGGUGCAGACGUAGGACUUUUAUUUUGAAAGUCUUUGCAGCGGCACAUUUGAGAUCAUCGGGGGGGUUAUCUCUCAUUCUAGAAGUCGCACUGCAGUGCUGUGUUACAGACAGCAGCCCCAGACUGACAGGAAACCCGAGAAUCAUAUGUGUGUUAAGUUAUGAAAGUUUUGUCCUCUCGCUCCGUUCUUCGCCAGCUGCUCAGCCCGGCGCCGUGCACGCGGCGCUGCCUCCACGCGAGGACCCAGAAGCUUCAUCACGCACCCCGCAGCCGCUCGCCAACUGCCUGCGCGCGCGCGCGCGCGCGAGAGAGAGAGAGAGAGAGAGAGCAGAGCUCUCGUCUGUUGGACUGUGUCCGUCCAUAUGCCCCGUUCGCGGCGCCUCCGUGCCGCUGCCGGUUCCCUACAUGUGUCGGGCCUCUGGAGCGCCGGUGGGCACGCUGACCCAGAAGUGUGCAGCGAGGGGUGGAGAUGAGGGGACGCGGACCCAUCAAGGUGGAGCCGGAUGAGGCUGUGGAGGAUUCUGCACCCGGGAAGACAGAGAUCAGCCCAAAACCAGACAAACAAACCAAAAAGUAUCAUUAGUAAACAGGAAAAUGAUACAAAAUA